rnacentral:rRNA from 1 species
UACAGAGGGGGCAAGCGUUAUUCGGAAUUAUUGGGCGUAAAGGGCGCGUAGGCGGCCUGGCAAGUGGAAGGUGAAAUCCCUCGGCUUAACCGAGGAACUGCCCUCCAAACUGCUUGGCUUGAGUCCGGGAGAGGUGAGUGGAAUUCCCAGUGUAGCGGUGAAAUGCGUAGAUAUUGGGAGGAACACCAGUGGCGAAGGCGGCUCACUGGACCGGUUCUGACGCUGAUGCGCGAAAGCGUGGGGAGCAAACGGG